GGGGCGGGGCGGGGCAGCUGAGGUCGGAAGGAGGGAUGCUGCGGGCUGCGCUGAGCCGCGUGCCGCCGCUACUGAGCCGCGUGCGGCCCCGGGAACCCGGCCUGCGGUGGUUGUGGGGACGUGGGGGCGGACCGGAGGCUGCGGGGAGAAGGCCGACCGGGUCAGGGGUCUGGGGCUGGCGGCGUUUGAGCUCGGAGCCGGGCCCCGGGGCCGCGCACUACCAGCUUGUCUACACUUGCAAGGUGUGCGGGAGCCGGUCCUCCAAGCGCAUCUCCAAGCUGGCCUAUCACCGGGGAGUGGUCAUUGUGACCUGCCCGGGCUGCCAGAAGCACCACGUCAUCGCGGACAACCUGGGCUGGUUCUCAGACCUGGAUGGAAAGAGAAUGUGCAGGGCGCCAGCUCCAGAGCAGGGUCCUGGCGCAUCGCUGGCAUUCUCUGCCCGCGCUGGCUGGUCGGUCACACCAGAUUGGGGGUGUGCAUGAGGCGGUGCACAGCCCUCCGUGGGCAGGAGCCUCCUGGCCGGCGGCCCUGCACCGUUCAGUGGGGCUUCUGAGAGUCUGUUCUGCUUGAGAACAGGAAUAUUGAAGAAAUCCUGGCAGCCAGAGGGGAGAAGGUGUGCCGAGUGGCUGGCGAGGGGGCACUAGAGCUGGUUUUAGAGGCUGCCGGGAACCCCAAAUCCCCCACUGCUCCAGAAGGGGGCGAGGAUCAGGACCCC